rnacentral:rRNA from 1 species
GCCCUUAGAGUUUGAUCAUGGCUCAGGACGAACGCUGGCGGCGCGCUUAACACAUGCGAGUCGAACGCUCCGCCCUUUUUAGCCCUUCGGGGCUAAGGAGGAUUACGGAGAGUGGCGGACGGGUGAGUAACGCGUAGGUAACCUAUCUUGAGGAGAGGGAUAACCUUGCGAAAGCGGGGCUAAUACCUCAUAUUGUUAGGGUGUGGCAUCACGCCCUAAUGAAAGCUGGCAUAAAGCCAGUACCUCAGGAGGGGCCUGCGUCGGAUUAGCCAGCUGGUGGGGUAAAGGCCUACCAGGGCGACAAUCCGUAGCUGGUCUGAGAGGACGAUCAGCCACACUGGGACUGAGACACGGCCCAGACUCCUACGGGAGGCAGCAGUGGGGAAUCUUCCGCAAUGGGCGCAAGCCUGACGGAGCGACGCCGCGUGGGUGAAGAAGGCCUUCGGGUCGUAAAGCCCUGUCAGUGGGGAAGAAGGCAGCUGUUAGGAAAUGGGCAGCUGUUGACGGUACCCGUUGAGGAAGCCCUGGCCAACUACGUGCCAGCAGCCGCGGUAACACGUAGAGGGCAAGCGUUGUCCGGAAUUACUGGGCGUAAAGGGCGCGCAGGCGGCAGUGCAAGUCGGGUGUGAAAACCUGGGGCUUAACCCCAGGCGUGCAUUCGAAACUGCAUUGCUUGAGGGCAGCAGA